rnacentral:rRNA from 1 species
UACGAAGGAUUCGAGCGUUAUCCGGAUUUAUUGGGUUUAAAGGGUGCGUAGGUGGACUAAUAAGUCAGUGGUGAAAGCCCGCAGCUUAACUGCGGAACUGCCAUUGAUACUGCUAGUCUUGAGUACAGUUGAGGUGGGCGGAAUGUGUCAUGUAGCGGUGAAAUGCUUAGAUAUGACACAGAACACCGAUUGCGAAGGCAGCUCACUAAGCUGUAACUGACACUGAGGCACGAAAGCGUGGGGAGCAAACAGG